rnacentral:rRNA from 1 species
AGAGUUUGAUCCUGGCUCAGGAUGAACGCUAGCGGCAGGCCUAAUACAUGCAAGCCGAACGGCGAGUUGAGUAGCAAUACUUGACCUAGAGUGGCGUAAGGGUGCGUAACACGUAUGCAAUCUGCCCACAACAGGAGGAUAGCUCCCCGAAAGGGGAAUUAACCCUCCAUAGCACCACACGAGGGCAUCCGAGGGUGGUUAAACCAAAAGGGGUUGUGGAUGAGCAUGCGGUUGAUUAGCUAGUUGGCGGGGUAACGGCCCACCAAGGCGAUGAUCAAUAGGGGAACUGAGAGGUUUAUCCCCCACACUGGCACUGAGAUACGGGCCAGACUCCUACGGGAGGCAGCAGUAGGGAAUAUUGGACAAUGGGCGAGAGCCUGAUCCAGCCAUGCCGCGUGCAGGAAGAAGGCCUUCUGGGUUGUAAACUGCUUUUGCCAGGGGAUAAAAGACCCGUGCGCGGGGAAUUGAAGGUACCUGGUGAAUAAGCCACGGCUAACUACGUGCCAGCAGCCGCGGUAAUACGUAGGUGGCAAGCGUUGUCCGGAUUUAUUGGGUUUAAAGGGUGCGUAGGCGGCCCUGUAAGUCAGUGGUGAAAUACGGCAGCUCAACUGUCGAGGUGCCAUUGAUACUGCAGGGCUUGAGUACAGACGAGGUAGGCGGAAUUGACGGUGUAGCGGUGAAAUGCUUAGAUAUCGUCAAGAACACCGAUAGCGAAGGCAGCUUACUAGACUGUAACUGACGCUGAGGCACGAAAGUGUGGGGAUCAAACAGGAUUAGAUACCCUAGUAGUCC